rnacentral:rRNA from 1 species
GAUGAACGCUGGCGGCGUGCCUAAUACAUGCAAGUCGAGCGAACAGAUGAGGAGCUUGCUCCUCUGACGUUAGCGGCGGACGGGUGAGUAACACGUGGAUAACCUACCUAUAAGACUGGGAUAACUUCGGGAAACCGGAGCUAAUACCGGAUAAUAUAUUGAACCGCAUGGUUCAAUAGUGAAAGACGGUUUUGCUGUCACUUAUAGAUGGAUCCGCGCCGCAUUAGCUAGUUGGUAAGGUAACGGCUUACCAAGGCAACGAUGCGUAGCCGACCUGAGAGGGUGAUCGGCCACACUGGAACUGAGACACGGUCCAGACUCCUACGGGAGGCAGCAGUAGGGAAUCUUCCGCAAAGGGCGAAAGCUUGAUGGAGCAACGCCGCGUGAGUGAUGAAGGUCUUCGGAUCGUAAAACUCUGUUAUUAGGGAAGAACAAAUGUGUAAGUAACUAUGCACGUCUUGACGGUACCUAAUCAGAAAGCCACGGCUAACUACGUG